UUUUAUUCUAACACAUCGGUAAGCCAAAUUUUUUUUAACUGUUCAUCUCUCGACAGUCUGAUUAAUCAAAAGGGGAUUAGGGUUUAUAGCGUAACAAUUCAACGUGUUCGAUCCCAGAAUCUUCUUAGCAAAUCUUCUUGUAUUCGCAAUUUUCAUCUUCAAUGUCUAUUUUUUUUUUCUCCUUGUUGUUUUUUCGGCGACAUCAACCAUCUUCGAAAUUCCCUCAAUGGCUGAAAGAGAUGAGAGUAGAGAUUUGCACAGAACCCCUCAAGGUGACUAAAACCCCAUUUCACUUCGUUAAGCCUCUACUCUAUUAAUCAGCCAAUAGGCUCGAAUCAAAAUGGCCUGCGUAGCUCUUCGAAACCCUAGCUCGAAGUGCCUUCUCCGUUUCUCUUCUCAGAUCUACUCACGUUGCGGUAGCUUAACUACUUCUUCUCCCUCAAUCUCUCAUCCAAUUGGAGGAGAUUAUCUCUCUUCCUCAAGUUUUGGAGCUUCUCUGUGAAGAUCGAUGGCCACCUUUACCGAAAAUAAACCUCAUGUAAAUGUUGGAACAAUUGGGCAAUUUGAUCACGGGACGAUUACAUUAACGGCUGAAACCACAAAGGUUCUUGCUGAAGUGGGCAAAGCUACAACUAUUGUCUUUGAUGAAAUUGAUAAAGCUCCUGAAAGAAGAAGAAAGGAAUUACUAUUUCUACAAAAGGUUAGUAGGCUGAAGGGUGGAGAAAGUUAUCUCAGCAGAAUGCAUAAUAUACAUGACACGUAAUGAAAGUGCUUCAGAUUACUUAGUGGUGGUAACCGUGCGUCAAACAACAUAUGCGAACAUAAAGUAGCAGAUACAUGACGCAUUGACUGACUCAGAUUACUUUGGACACCAACCGUUCUAUCAAGCAACUCAAACGAACUUCAUCACAUUUCCUAACAGUUAUCACUUCCGACGAUCUCCGACGGCGACCUCCGACGAUCCGAAGACCUACGACGAUCUCCAAUGGUCUAACUGCACUGAAGCGAGUGAUAAGAUUUAAAGGCGGUUUUGAGCGAUGAGGAAGUCUACAACGAGGCAGCCAUGGAGGCGUUUCCAGUGUACAAUAAGAUCAGUAGGGCGGGUGAUAAUGUUCAUGAGCUUACGGCUUGAUGAUAUACAUGCAACACUUCUUUGUUCACUAGUACUGUUGAUCCAAUUGGAUAUCGUGUUACGGAUGCUUAGAAACGCUAGACGUAUGGCGGUUGGAAUGUCAGACUGAGUGGAUCAGUUUGAUAAUAGAGCAGAGUUAAAAAAAAAAAUCUUCUCUAUAUUGCUAAGUAACUACUAAUAUCACUUCUGUAUAUUAUGACUGACUUUGGUUCCUAGAUUAAACCUUAAUGCUUGUUUUCUGAAACCACGGGUGUUGAAGCGUUGGGGAUACUAUCCACUCAUUCUAAUAGGAUCAUGGGCAUUUGGUACCAUCAACCGUAUUCAUGAUUUCA